rnacentral:tRNA from 2 species
GGACUGUUGGUCUAGUGGUAUGAUUCUCGCUUAGGGAACACCCUGAGUUUGCGAAACUUGCGAGAGGUCCCGUGUUCGAUCCACGGACAGUCCC